rnacentral:rRNA from 1 species
GAGUUUGAUCUUGGCUCAGAUUGAACGCUGGCGGCAUGCCUUACACAUGCAAGUCGAACGGCAGCACGGGAGCUUGCUCCUGGUGGCGAGUGGCGAACGGGUGAGUAAUGCAUCGGAACGUAUCCUGGAGUGGGGGAUAACGUAGCGAAAGUUACGCUAAUACCGCAUAUUCUGUGAGCAGGAAAGCGGGGGACCUUCGGGCCUCGCGCUCUUGGAGCGGCCGAUGUCGGAUUAGCUAGUUGGUGAGGUAAAGGCUCACCAAGGCGACGAUCCGUAGCAGGUCUGAGAGGAUGAUCUGCCACACUGGAACUGAGACACGGUCCAGACUCCUACGGGAGGCAGCAGUGGGGAAUUUUGGACAAUGGGGGCAACCCUGAUCCAGCCAUGCCGCGUGAGUGAAGAAGGCCCUCGGGUUGUAAAGCUCUUUCGCGAGGGAAGAAAUUGCACCGGACAAUACCUGGUGUAGAUGACGGUACCUUGAUAAGAAGCACCGGCUAACUACGUGCCACG